rnacentral:rRNA from 1 species
CCUACGGGUGGCAGCAGUGGGGAAUAUUGCACAAUGGGGGAAACCCUGAUGCAGCGACGCCGCGUGAGUGAAGAAGUAUUUCGGUAUGUAAAGCUCUAUCAGCAGGGAAGAAAAUGACGGUACCUGACUAAGAAGCCCCGGCUAACUACGUGCCAGCAGCCGCGGUAAUACGUAGGGGGCAAGCGUUAUCCGGAUUUACUGGGGGGAAAGGGAGCGUAGACGGCCAGGCAAGUCAGAAGUGAAAGCCAAGGGGUCAACCCUGGGACUGCUUUUGAAACUGCCGGGCUGGAGUGCAGGAGAGGUAAGCGGAAUUCCUGGUGUAGCGGUGAAAUGCGUAGAUAUUAGGAGGAACACCAGUGGCGAAGGCGGCUUACUGGACUGUAACUGACGUUGAGGCUCGAAAGCGUGGGGAGCAAACAGGAUUAGAUACCCUUGUAGUC